rnacentral:lncRNA from 1 species
GAGGAGUCAUUUGGUGGGUUUUGAGUGAAAUCCAAUCUCUACAAUUAUGCAAUACACCAACCACUCCAUUUCAUAACGAACUUCGUUCCAACUUGAAUUGUCCAAUUUCAGGGAUCAAUCAAUAUAUGAUUGGGUCCAAAACCUGGGGAAAAUCAUAAUAUUGUGGGAGGAGUCAUUUGGUGGGUUUUGAGUGAAAUCCAACCUCUAGAACUAUACAAUACAUCAAC